rnacentral:misc_RNA from 1 species
CGGCAACACUUCCAAACACCAAGGUUCACAAUGGCCGAAUCUCAACAAUAGCCACAAGCAACCAAGCCCACGGCAACAAGAAGUAACAAGGACCACAAUGCGCACAAUCAAGUCAACAAGCUAUAACAAGCAAGUAUCCUUACCUCACGGCACCAAGUUUACUCCUAAACUCAAUAGUGGCCAAAACACUUACUCAAGCAACAACAAAUAAUACUCACGGCAAUCCACAAGUUACCACAAGUAAUAACAAGUUACUAACCUCAACAAGUGUCCAACAAUCACGCAAGGCAAGCAUCCAUGCGCAAUACACCACAAUAACCACUAAUGGGCAGCCGCAUCAACACAAG